GAAGACCCCUUCUUAGCAUAGUUCCUAUUCUUUCCUGGGUAGGGCUAGUAAGAGAUACAUUUCUUUUUCUUAGGGGUCCUUGCGAGCGAGUGCUACUGCACUUUACAGUGGAUAAUCAAGUUAUAGUUUCAAUCCUAGGGCCUUCCAUAUUUUUUGAUUCAGCCGAGUGAUUCGAUGGAGUUGGAGCCAAUUACCCUUGUUGUCAGGCCAACUUGGAGGAGUUUUAGUUGCCUCUUUUUCGGUGCAGCCGA
rnacentral:misc_RNA from 1 species